GACGAACGCUGGCGGCGUGCUUAACACAUGCAAGUCGAACGGAAAGGCCCUGCUUUUGUGGGGUGCUCGAGUGGCGAACGGGUGAGUAACACGUGAGUAACCUGCCAUUGACUUUGGGAUAACUUCAGGAAACUGGGGCUAAUACCGGAUAGGAGCUCCUGCUGCAUGGUGGGGGUUGGAAAGUUUCGGCGGUUGGGGAUGGACUCGCGGCUUAUCAGCUUGUUGGUGGGGUAGUGGCUUACCAAGGCUUUGACGGGUAGCCGGCCUGAGAGGGUGACCGGCCACAUUGGGACUGAGAUACGGCCCAGACUCCUACGGGAGGCAGCAGUGGGGAAUAUUGCACAAUGGGCGGAAGCCUGAUGCGGCAACGCCGCGUGCGGGAUGACGGCCUUCGGGUUGUAAACCGCUUUCGCCUGUGACGAAGCGUGAGUGACGGUAAUGGGUAAAGAAGCACCGGCUAACUACGUG
rnacentral:rRNA from 1 species